AGUGAACGCUGGCGGUAGGCCUAACACAUGCAAGUCGAACGGCAGCACAGUAAGAGCUUGCUCUUACGGGUGGCGAGUGGCGGACGGGUGAGGAAUACAUCGGAAUCUACUUUUUCGUGGGGGAUAACGUAGGGAAACUUACGCUAAUACCGCAUACGACCUACGGGUGAAAGCAGGGGAUCUUCGGACCUUGCGCGAUUGAAUGAGCCGAUGGCGGAUUAGCUAGUUGGCGGGGUAAAGGCCCACCAAGGCGACGAUCCGUAGCCGGUCUGAGAGGAUGACCUGCCACAUUGGGCCUGAGAGACGGACCAGUGUCGUACGGGAGGAAGCGGUGGGGAAUAUGGCACAAUGGGCGGAAGCGUGAUGCAGGCACGCCGCGGGCGGGAUGCCGGCCUGCGGGUUGUAAACCGCUUUCGCCUGUGACGAAGCGUGAGUGACGGUAAUGGGUAAAGAAGCACCGGCUAACUACGUG
rnacentral:rRNA from 1 species